rnacentral:rRNA from 1 species
AUUGAACGCUGGCGGCAGGCCUAACACAUGCAAGUCGAACGAGUGGCGGACGGGUGAGUAAUGUCUGGGAAACUGCCUGAUGGAGGGGGAUAACUACUGGAAACGGUAGCUAAUACCGCAUACCAUCGGAUGUGCCCAGAUGGGAUUAGCUAGUAGGUGGGGUAACGGCUCACCUAGGCGACGAUCCCUAGCUGGUCUGAGAGGAUGACCAGCAAACAUGGAAAUGAGACAGGGUCCAGACUCCAACGGGAGGAAGCAGUGGGGAAUAUGGAAAAAUGGGCGCAAGCCUGAUGCAGCCAGGCGGCGUGGAUGAAGAAGGCCUUGGGGUUGUAAAGUACUUUCAGCGGGGAGGCGUUACCCGCAGAAGAAGCACCGGCUAACUCCGUGCCAGCAGCCGCGGUAAUA